AAAGUCGUAACAAGGUUUCCGUAGGUGAACCUGCGGAAGGAUCAUUAUUGUUUCGGGGAAAACUAAAACCCCAUUAGGUGUCAAGCUAGUGGAGGGAGCUUGGCAUCGAGGGCCCUGAAAAAAGAGGGAUUUCUUCAACCUUGCCUUUUUUUGCGCACCCCUUGUUUCCUCGGCAGCUUCGCCUGCCAACGAGGACCCUCUUAAACCCCUUUUGCAAUCAGCAUAACGUUCUGAAAACAAACAAUAUUAAAACUUUCAACAAUGGAUCUCUUGGCUCUG
rnacentral:misc_RNA from 1 species